rnacentral:lncRNA from 1 species
GAGUGUGGCUGAUGAAGUCACCGUGGUGGAUGCUAUAGAGGACUGCAUGGAGAGGAGCUGGACACGCAGCAAGCCAGCCUCUUCCUGAAGACCUCCAAGAUCACAGCCGCCAGAGACUACUCAGACACAGCCAACUCCAAGCUGUGCGUCAUCACUGCAGGCAUGCGUCAGAGGAAGAGGGAGAGUCGUCAGGAUCUGCUCCAGAGGAACAUUUAGGUGUUGAAGCAGAUCAUCCCUCAACUGGCCCAGCACAGCCCUGACACCAUCCUCCUGGUCAUAUAAACCCCUAGUACCUCACUACACCAUGUCCACUUCUUAUAUUCGUAUAUGGAGAAGUGAGUAGGAUAUUAUCAGACUGAUGAGAAGAGUCAAGUCAAACUUAGUUACAUGACUCAUUUUCCCUAAGUAAAGGUUUCUUCCUAGCGUGGAGAAACCCUGUCCAAUAGUAAUUGAGCAUGUAUAUAUUUGUUUCUAACCCUGGCUGGUGGCUAACCCGAUGGUACUGAACUCUGUGGCACUCUGAUGGAUGUGCUGACCUAUGUGGCAUGGAGGCUGAGUGGGUUCCCUCAGAACAGGGUCAGCGGAACCAAUCUGGACUCAACAUCGUUCUCCUACUUGACGGGAGAGGGACUGCAGAUCCACCCUAGCAGUGUCCACGGACACAUCAUAGGAGAGCACCGGGACUCCAGUGGUGCCACUCCCCUGUAUCAGGAGGGGUGCAUCACUUGAGUGGGUUGAGUCACUGACACGGUCUUCCUGUCUGGGUUGCCCCCCCGGAUUGUGCCAUGGCGGAGAUCUUUGUGGGCUAUUCUCCGGCCUUGUCUCAGGAUGGACCUGAGCCCUAGGACCAUGACUCGGGACUACCUGGCCUGAUGACUCCUUGCUGUCCCCAGUCCACCUGCCAUGCUGCUACUCCAGUUUCAACUGUUCUGCUUGCGGCUAUGGAACCCUGACCUGUUCACCGGACGUGCUACCUGUCCCAGACCUGCUGUUUUCAACUCUCUAGAGACAGCAGGAGCAGUAGAGAUACUCUGAAUGAUCAGCUAUGAAAAGCCAACUGACAUUUCCUCCUGAGGUGCUGACCUGUUGCUCCCUCGACAACCACUGUGAUUAUUAUUAUUUGACCCUGCUGGUCAUCUAUGAACGUUUGAACAUCUUGGCCAUGUUCUGUUAUAAUCUCCACCCGGCACAGCCAGAAGAUGACUGGCCACCCCUCAUAGCCUGGUUCCUCUCUAGGUUUCUUCCUAGGUUCUGGCCUUUCUAGGGAGUUUUUCCUAGCCACCGUGCUUCUACACCUGCAUUGCUUGCUGUUUGGGGUUUUAGGCUGGGUUUCUGUACAGCACUUUGUGACAUCAGCUGAUGUAAGAAGGGCUUUAUAAAUACACUUGAUUGAUUGUACUCCAGGCAGUCAUAGACAGUGGUUAUGAGGUGAUUCGGCUGAAGGGGCACACCCCCUGGGUCAUUGGUCUGAGUGUGUCCAGCCUAGCACAGGUCAUACUGAAGAACCUCAGCACCAUUCACCCUGUGUCCAUCCUUGUCAAGGGCAUGUGUGGGAUAGAGGAGGAGGUGUACUCACCCAGCCCCUGAGGGAGACAGAGGUUCAGGGGCUGCAGGAGAGGGCAUGGUUCCUGGGACAAACCAACAGCGAGCUGAUCCUCUGAGCCACGGAACUCCAGGACAAAGAAUGAAUCAAGCUCAUACAUUAGUUUACACUGAGGUUAACUGAUGUUGUCAUGUGUACAGUAACAACGUCUAAACACUAAACAUGACCCAUCA